UCUACGGGAGGCAGCAGUGGGGAAUAUUGCGCAAUGGGCGAAAGCCUGACGCAGCGACGCCGCGUGAGGGAUGAAGGUCUUCGGAUCGUAAACCUCUGCCAGCAGGGAAGAACGGUCCCUGUGCUAAUCAGCAGUGAAUUGACGGUACCUGCAAAGGAAGCACCGGCUAACUCCGUGCCAGCAGCCGCGGUAAUACGGGGGGUGCGUGCGUUAAUCGGAAUUACUGGGCGUAAAGCGCUCGUAGGCGGGAUGUCAAGUCAAGGGUGAAAUCCCCGCGCUCACAGUGGGAACUGCCUUGGAAACUGGCAAACUGGAGUGUGUGAGAGGCUAGUGGAAUUCCAGGUGUAGGAGUGAAAGCCGUAGAUAUCUGGAGGAACAUCAGUGGCGAAGGCGACUAGCUGGAACAUAACUGACGCUGAGGAGCGAAAGCGUGGGUAGCAAACAGGAUUAGAUACCCUUGUAGUC
rnacentral:rRNA from 1 species